UCAUAUAUACAUGCCUACAAGGUCAAUGCAUCAGAUCCCUUUAUGAAUCUAUAGCUAAGCACUCUUGGGCUAGAGUAGUAAUGGGAUGGGUGACCUCCUGGGAAGUCCUAUUGUUUUAAAUGCU
rnacentral:rRNA from 1 species